GACGAACGCUGGCGGCGUGCUUAACACAUGCAAGUCGAACGGAAAGGCCCUGCUUUUGUGGGGUGCUCGAGUGGCGAACGGGUGAGUAACACGUGAGUAACCUGCCCUUGACUUUGGGAUAACUUCAGGAAACUGGGGCUAAUACCGGAUAGGAGCUCCUGCUGCAUGGUGGGGGUUGGAAAGUUUCGGCGGUUGGGGAUGGACUCGCGGCUUAUCAGCUUGUUGGUGGGGUAGUGGCUUACCAAGGCUUUGACGGGUAGCCGGCCUGAGAGGGUGGACGGGCACCUUGGGACUGAGAUACGGAGCAGAGUCCAACGGGAGGCAGAGGGCGGGAAUCUUGCACAAUGGGCGGAAGCGUGAUGAGGAAACGCCGCGUGCGGGAUGACGGCCUUCGGGUUGUAAACCGCUUUCGCCUGUGACGAAGCGUGAGUGACGGUACUGGGUAAAGAAGCACCGGCUAACUACGUG
rnacentral:rRNA from 1 species